GCCAGUGUGGCAUAGUGGUUUGAAUGCUAGACUGCAACUCUGGAGACCAGGUUCAAUUCCCAGCUUGGCCA
rnacentral:tRNA from 1 species